AUUGAACGCUGGCGGCAGGCCUAACACAUGCAAGUCGAGCGGAGCGGCGGACGGGUGAGUAAUGCCUAGGAAUCUGCCUGGUAGUGGGGGAUAACGUCCGGAAACGGGCGCUAAUACCGCAUACUAUCUGAUGAGCAUAGGCAGGUGUAGCUAGUUGGUGGGGUAAAGGCCUACCAAGGCGACGAUCCGUAACUGGUCUGAGAGGAGGAUCAGUCACACUGGAACUGAGACACGGUCCAGACUCCUACGGGAGGCAGCAGUGGGGAAUAUUGCACAAUGGGCGCAAGCCUGAUGCAGCCAUGCCGCGUGUAUGAAGAAGGCAUUCGGGUUGUAAAGUACUUGCAGCGGGGAGGCGUUACCCGCAGAAGAAGCACCGGCUAACUCCGUGCCAGCAGCCGCGGUAAUAC
rnacentral:rRNA from 1 species